CUCAUCUACUGCCGGACAAUAGGAUUGCCUGACCAAGGCCGAAUUGCUUCCUGCAGAGAUCUUUUCCCUGAAACUGUGGACCCUGCUGUCGAAGCAGCAUUCAAGGUUUGGAGCAAUGAGAACCAACUCAAUUUUACUAGAGUUUUCUGGGACACUGCUGACAUCAUGAUCUUCUUUGAAAGCCAAGACUAACCUGUUUGCUCUGGCUGCACACGAAUUUGGCCUUUGCUCCAGUGACCCCGGGGCCCUGAUGUUUCCCAACUGAUGAUAUGGACCCACCCAAGCAAGAGAAAGAUCCAGGCAUCUAGGCCUUCUGUGGUCUGCUGAGUUUGUGGAAGUCCAGAUCUGAAGGAAUCAGGAUGACCAAGUUGGCUUCCAUUUAUUUCUCAUCCAAACUUUUAACCUUAUCUCAAGAGUGUUAGCUCAUGAGGACCAGGAUUUUGAUGUGUUUUGCUCACUGUUGUAUCAGUGAGAGAAAGCACACUGUUCUAUGACAGGGAGCUAAUAAAUGGCAGAGC